AAAAUGUUGAUGGGUCCUGCACACUAUUGUAAAAAAAAAAAGGUAAUUAGGUGGGGCACUUUUCUGGGUAAUCAUCAACUGUCUAAUCUUUAUCUUCUGCCAGUUACUGAUGAUGGUGUAAUCUGUCUCGUGGAGCCUUCUGCCAUAACACACCUCCAUGUUGUUGAGGAUGGUGAAGACACCUUAUCAGCUGCCACAGAGAGGGAAGAUGCAGAGAGGCCUGUUGAGAGCAAUGCCGGAAGUUACAAUGAGGAAGAAGGUCCAUCAACCUCCACAGCACAGCUUACCUCAGUAAGAUGUUGUUCAGCAUUGACCCACAACUUACAAUGACACUAAGUAGACAUGGCACUGUGAAAUUCAACGUCAUUUAUGUUCUUAUAGCUCCCUGUGAAACAACUUUACAAAGUAUAUUUAGAAUCCCAAA